rnacentral:rRNA from 1 species
AAACUUUCAACAACGGAUCUCUUGGUUCUGGCAUCGAUGAAGAACGCAGCGAAAUGCGAUACGUAGUGUGAAUUGCAGAAUUCAGUGAAUCAUCGAAUCUUUGAACGCACAUUGCGCCCUUUGGUAUUCCAAAGGGUAUGCCUGUUCGAGCGUCAU